CCUACGGGCGGCAGCAGUGGGGAAUAUUGGACAAUGGGCGAAAGCCUGAUCCAGCCAUGCCGCGUGUGUGAAGAAGGCCUUCGGGUUGUAAAGCACUUUCAGUGGGGAAGAAAGCCUUGGGGCUAAUACCCUCGAGGAAGGACAUCACCCACAGAAGAAGCACCGGCUAACUCCGUGCCAGCAGCCGCGGUAAUACGGAGGGUGCGAGCGUUAAUCGGAAUUACUGGGCGUAAAGCGCGCGUAGGCGGUCUGAUAAGCCGGUUGUGAAAGCCCCGGGCUCAACCUGGGAACGGCAUCCGGAACUGUCAGGCUAGAGUGCAGGAGAGGAAGGUAGAAUUCCCGGUGUAGCGGUGAAAUGCGUAGAGAUCGGGAGGAAUACCAGUGGCAAAGGCGGCCUUCUGGACUGACACUGACGCUGAGGUGCGAAAGCGUGGGUAGCAAACAGGAUUAGAUACCCCGGUAGUC
rnacentral:rRNA from 1 species